GACGAACGCUGGCGGCGUGCUUAACACAUGCAAGUCGAGCGGAAAGGCCACUUCGGUGGUACUCGAGCGGCGAACGGGUGAGUAACACGUGAGUAAUCUGCCCUUGGCUUUGGGCUAGCCACCGGAAACGGUGAUUAAUACCGGAUAUGACCACUUCACGCAUGUGAUGGUGGUGGAAAGUUUUUCGGCCAGGGAUGUGCUCGCGGCCUAUCAGCUUGAUGGUGAGGUAAUGGCUCACCAUGGCUUCGGCGGGUAGCCGGCCUGAGAGGGUGACCGGUCACACUGGGACUGAGACACGGCCCAGACUCCUACGGGAGGCAGCAGUGGGGAAUAUUGGACAAUGGGCGGAAGCCUGAUCCAGCAACGCCGCGUGAGGGAUGACGGCCUUCGGGUUGUAAACCUCUUUCGCCUAUGACGAAGCGCAAGUGACGGUAAUAGGUAAAGAAGCACCGGCCAACUACGUGCCAGCAGCCGCGGUAAGAC
rnacentral:rRNA from 1 species